UCUCUGGUGGUCUAGUGCUUAGGACUCGGUAUUGUCACUGCAGUGGCCCAGGUUCAAUUCCUAGUCUGGGAA
rnacentral:tRNA from 1 species